rnacentral:lncRNA from 1 species
CUGCCACCCCAGGAAUCUUGCUCUCCCAGGUCUCGGUCAGCCGGGAAGCACUGUUGACCCACGUUGGGCGUGAGAUGCCGUGGGAAGGAAUGGACCAGCAGGGGAUGGGUCCCCACUGAUGGAGGCCUGUGUGGGAUUUACGCCUUGUGAGUUGUGUGGGCAAACCUGCUGUCAGGAUCCGGAUUUUCCCAGCACCUGUUCUAUCUCAGGUGUUUCUGGCUGCUUCCCAAAAGCAGAACAUUAUAGCACCCAUUUAAAGUGGAGGCAGCUGAAACCCAACGGAAGCUGCAGUCAUUUGCCCCAGGUUCCCAGCUGCCAUGUGGUGGAAGUGGCACUUUGACCCUGAAUCUCACUCGCUUUUCAUGACCCUUUACUGCGCCCCCCCCACCUGUGGAACAGCAGACACUCGCGGGUCUGUGGCCCCUGGAAUGACUUCAGAAAUUUCCUCCUCGUCCCUCAUCAUAAUCCAGCAGCUUCCUCUGACCCCACUGGGCUACAGGUGGAGCUAGAGGCUCGGGAAGACAAGGAAGGCGGCUGAGGCCGUGAGCAGUGGGGUGGGCCGGGGUAAGGGCCAGCUUCCUCCCUCUGUGGCUGCCAGAGAGACCCCAGGAGUGCGGGAGACAGACCCCGGAGAGGCCGGCCAGCGGCACGCAGCCAGGCCUCCCGCCUCCCAGGAUUGAUGUGCUCUCAUUUGGGAGAAGCAGUUUCCUGUUUAGGGAAGUUCCCCAGGCCCAGAAAAUGGCCAGGCUUCCACGGAUGGGCCCUGCCUGCCAGAGCAUGACAGCACAGACCGAGCUCACUGCUGUGCUGGGGAGGCCGGGCCUCGGGGUGGGCCCCUCUGCCUCCUCCGCCCCAGAGUUCAUCCACGCUGUAUUUCUUGUUCACUCAUUAGGCAGAAAUUGGCCUUUCUGUGUAAGAAUCCUCCAGAAAUGUAUUAGCACGUGUAAGACACACCCCUCGUGUUCUCAUGUUCUGAGCUCCCAGCAGAAGGGGUGCCAUCUGAGUCGUAGCAGCUGUCACACACGGAGUCCCUGUGUUUCGCCUGGGUCAGCAGUGGCCUCACCGUGGCCCUCGUGCUGGUUCCCUCUGAUCUGUUCUCCACGUCACUGGCCA